rnacentral:rRNA from 1 species
AUGAGUUAAGGUCUUUAAACCUAAAGAAUUGGGCGGUAUUUCAUUCCAUUUAGAGGAACCUAUCUCAUAAUUGAUAAUACACGAUUUAUUUUACUUGAUUUAUUUGUUUGUAUAUCUCCGUUAUCAGAAAAUCUUUAUGGAGUUGAAAUUUUCUUGUUUCUCAUUAGGAAUUAUUUCAGGUCAAGGUGCAGCUUAUAAUCAAGGGUAUGAUGGGUUACAAUAAUUUAAUAUUAUUAUGGAUUUGAUUUUGUAAUAUUUUAAUGAAGGUGGAUUUAAUAGUAAUUUGAAUUAUUUAAUUUGAUUGAUAUUGGCUCUGAGAUGUGUACACUAU